GGAUAAGUCUGCUGGCCUUCUUGGAGGCAUGUGCACGGCCCGCCAUUGUUUCAUCCUCCUCCACCUGUGCACUUCUGUGGGUCCAAUCCAGUGCACCAUGUGUGCUGGGCUCUGGUACCUACGUUUUCACUACCCACACGAUUGAAUGUUCAGAAUGUAUGUAUCGGGCAUUCUUGCCCAUAAAACCUUAUACAACUUUCAACAACGGAUCUCUUGGCUCUCGCAUCGAUGAAGAACGCAGCGAAAUGCGAUAAGUAAUGUGAAUUGCAGAAUUCAGUGAAUCAUCGAAUCUUUGAACGCACCUUGCGCUCCUUGGUAUUCCGAGGAGCAUGCCUGUUUGAGUGUCAUUAAAUCAUCAAUCACCUCGUCUUCGAGAGGGUUGGACUUGGAGGCUCUGCUGGCCCCUUCUGGGACCGGCUCCUCUGAAAAGCAUUAGCAGGGCCCAUGUUGUGCGAUCUGCAGCCUUGUGUGAUAGUCAUCUACACUUGUCUCGGUUGCAUUGAAUGCCAAGCUUACAGUCGUCUGCUGUUGUGGACAAUUUACUUGACCAAUUGACCUCAAAUCAGGUAGGAUUACCCGCUGAACUUAAGCAUAUCAAUAAG
rnacentral:rRNA from 1 species